rnacentral:misc_RNA from 1 species
GUGAAUCAUCAAAUUUUUGAACGCAAAUUGCACUCUCUGGUAUUCCGGAGAGUAUGCCUGUUUGAGGGUCAGUUAAAUAAAAAUCGGUGUGGUUGCUGCUUUUCGUGGUAACGCACCGGAUUGGGGUGAUCUUGCUUUUGGUUAAUUGACUUAGAAUUUUGCAUGAUUUUUUUCGCUAGUACUUAAAUGAUUUUAAGAACGUUUGUGAUUUCGAAUACUAGGCU